GUCCAGCUGCCCACCGCGAGCAUGUUGUUGCUCUGCUUCUGAAAACGACACAGAGAGUUUGAGAAAGAGAAAUCAUACUUCCUAGUACAUAUAUCAUUUUAAGAACUGCAAACAUUCCACAACCCAUGGAUAUGAAAUGCAAAUCUGCUGGAGACUUGGAGUUCUACGCAAAAAGAAUCGUAACCACAGGAUCCAAAAUGCGUACAACAACUUUCGUGGAUUUCAUUACAGCCGUAUGCCUUCCAAGCAUACUAUUAUGCCGGUCUUCACCUUCGGCAUAUGAAGCUUAAGUGCC
rnacentral:misc_RNA from 1 species